AGGCGUGAGCCACUGAGCCUGGCCAGAAUGUUACUUUCCUGACCAGAUUACAUGUAGGCUCUGACUUCUGUCUUGCUUGCCCUCUCCUAUUCUAUAUCUUUGAUCUUCUGUAGUUUGAAUAUGAUAUGCCCAGGUAUAGUUCUGGGAUUUUUUGUUUGUCCUUCUUGGUGUUCUCUAAGCUUCCUGGAUCUGUCGCUUGGUGUCUGACAUUGUUGCGUGGAAAUUCUUAGUCAUUAUUUCAAAUAAUUCUUCUGUACUUUUUCUCUUUCUUCUCUUUCUGGUAUUCUCAUUGUGCAUGUGUUAUAUCUUUUGUAGUUUUCCACCAGUACGUGGAUAUUCUGUUUUUGUUUUGUUUUGUUUCCAGUCUGUGUUCUCUUUGCUUUUCAGUUUGGGAGAUUUCUAUUGAUGUAUCCUCAAGCUCAGAAAUUCCUCACCCAUGUCCAGUCUACUAUUAAGACCUUCAAAGGCAUUCUGCAUCUGCCUUAGUAGUUUUGAUCUCUAGCAUUUCUUUUAGGUUCUGUCUUAGGAUUUUCAUCUCUCUGCUUACAUUGCUCAACUGUUCUUGCAUGCUGUCUGCUUUCUCCAUUAGAGCCUUUAAUAGACUGAUGAUAGAUAUUUUAAAUUCCCAUUCUGAUAAUUCCAACAUCCCUGCCAUAUUUGGUUCUGAUGCUUGCUUUGUCUCUCUAAACUGUAUUUUUUGACUUUUAGUAUGACUUGUAAUUUGUUCUUGUUGGCUGGUCAUGGUGUACUGGGUAAAAGGAACUGCUUUAAACAGACCUCUAGUAAUGGGGGGUGGUGAAGUGAGGAAGGCAUUCCGUGAACCUGUGAUUAGUCUCAGCCUCUUAGUGAAUCUAUGCCUCUGAACUCACACGUACUUCUCAGUCCUUUGUCUCCUCCGCACCUUAGGUGGGACAGGAUGGCUAGAGUUGCUGGAGUGGGGUAUUUCCCUCCCCCAGGUCGGGUAGGCUGUGAUAAAAUCUCAGGGAGGGCUUAGGCUCUGGUUGAAUAGUUUCUCCUGAGGGAAGGCCUUGUUAAGAACAGGAUGCUCUGCGCUUUUCAAAAUGGUUCCUUUCCCCCUCCCUUUGCCAGAAGCAUAAGGGCAUUUUCCUUUGAUAUUUAAUGUGGGAACCUGGUCGAGAUUUUGCAGGUAAAUUUAGCAAAAGUGUGCAUGGAGUCCCCUUUAUGUCUGGGUCCCCCUGGAGUCUUUUUACUCUCAGACUUGUCCACACGGAGCCAAAAGUAAUUCAUCAUUUACAGUUUGGAUUUUUCUACCUUGGCACUCGUUCCCACGGAGAUUUCUGCUCAUGAAUUUCUGCUCUGGUAGGGAAGUGAUGGAAGGUGCCCAGGAAGAGAGGCAAAGGAAUGACAAUGAAGGCUGCUCUAUCCAGCAUUCAUCUCUUGGGUUGAGCUGUGAGCUCCAUGAGAACUCAGAUGAAUUGACUUUGCAUCGGCACAGGAACCUGGAACCUGUCAGGGAAGCUCACCAUUGUUUCUGAUGUUAACAACUCUUGAUCCAAGCCUGCCCAGUUUCCUACUUCAGUCUUCCCUGGCCCUCCUCUGAAGAUGGAAACUAAGCCAACAGGCUGAGAACUUCCUAUCCUCUCUUCCUAUCUCCAAGGAAAUAGGAGCUCACAGCAGAAGAGUGCAGGGGGAGAGGGAACAGUUAUUUCUCAAGCCAUUAAUACAGUUCUUACACGACUCUGCCUCCUGGCCCACAGUGAUAGACCCACAGUUGGGAGUGGACCACACAGUGGGCCAGCUGUAGAGCCUGAGACUGGGUAAGAGAUGGACAUCUGACCCAAGUAGGGACAGUGCAGUGCGUGCUUGGAAUUGAUGACCUAGGGACCAGAGAGCAGUGCUCAUUGUCUCUUUGUGGCGGGGUUAGCAGCUCUGAAGUCAUCGGGAUGGCAUUUCCCGCCAGGUGGAAGAAGCUGGCCUGUAGUUGAAGAACUGAUACCCACACCCAGAGCUGCAGAGAGAGGGUGCAUAACAGCAGCUUGCCAGAUCCAUUUCCAGCUCUUCUGAGGUACAGCCACACCUUGACCUUCCUGCAGUCCUCUUAGCCUUCCGAAUACAUUUACCUUUGAGUGUAAAUGAAUUUAAGGGAGCUAAUGAACCAUGACAAGAACAAAAGGCCGGCAGCCAAGAGGAGGGGGAAACAGGAGCUGGCAGACCGGACCUGACGGCGGCUCCUAAGCUGUUUGUUUCCCUUCUCAAAGGCGCAAUUCGUUGACAGUGAUGACAACAGAGCUGGCCACCUUGCUGAGUAUGCUGGAUGGCACACAGUGACAACAAAUGACACAGAAGCCUCUAUUCUCAAGGACUCGAGGAGUUAAAUAUCUGAUGGAGACGAGAAGACAGGACCCAGGCACAAACAGCGCAAUCUAUAGGAACAAAUACAAGAAUCACAUACUCCACAGCCCCGUGAACGAUGGACAUAGAUAGCAAAGGGCUCCCCAGCAGCCCUGGCAGGCACGUAGACAGCCACAGUCAGCUCUCUCAGAUGAUCUGAAACCACUUCAGUCUGUCUGAAGCUCUCAUGAACAUUUCCGGUUAAAUACUGUUUUCAAUAAUGUAUUCUGGAGGAGAUGUUCGCUUCCCUGGGAAUCACUUUGCAGCACAUCCCCUCCAGGGACCAGCUACAGACAUCAGGCGCCAGGAGAGAAGAAUCACUCUGUGUAGAUGGUAGACCAGGAAUAAGGUUGCCUCCAAAAAAUAAUAGCUGACAUCCACCCCACCCUCCGCUCUUCAAUCAAGUCAGUCAGGCAAUGAACCUUUUCACACCUGAGGGAUGAUUUUUGCUUUUGUCUGAUUCUGCUGUAUUAAAGGAAAUAAGUGUUGAGAAAGAAAAAGAACCCAGGUAUGAAGUCAAAGAAAGAGCAGUGGGGAAGCCUGAAAAAAGUUCAAAGUGCAGGACAAAGGCAGAGCUGGAGCUGUUCCUGCACCUGUGAUCUGUCAUCUUCAUGAAUAUGAAGUCUUUGGACUCAAAGCACAGGGCCCCGUCCCUUGGUGAGGCCUGCAGCCACGGUGAGGACUGAUGGAUGACAUCUGCAAGAAUGCCAUUCUGUGCAAAGCUAUCAGACGCUUUGAAGAUGGAGGCAGGAGAAGAAAAAUUUCUCAGGAAUCUGUCACACCUGACAUUUGGUAACUUUAUCAGCUGGGGCCAUGGAGAAGCUGUGUUUGGGACUAGGGUGCAUCUGUAACCUGAGCAUUCCCAGGGAGUGGCCCUGGCUCGUCCCCAGGCUGCGAGCUGCUAUCAGGAAAGCAGGGCCAGCUGGCGCCAGCUGGAGGAGAGAGAGCCCAGGACCUCUCCCCUACAUGUGUGAAGAGCCACAGAUCCCAUGGAUGCCAGCUCCCAGAAAAGCAGACUGUCUUCUCUGACUAGAAUGUCAACUCCCAGAGGCCAGGAACCUGCUCUCCUUGUUCAUGGGUGUGUCCCCAGGACCCAGCCCAGUGCCUGGCACACAAUUAGCACUCAACAAGGGCAUACUGUGAACAAAUGUAUCCAGACCUUGAGGUGAGGUGGCUUAGGAGGGCUGGGCCUUGGAAGUGGCACAUCCACCUGGAGGCACUUGGAUCAAUGAGAUGACCAGACCUUGUGGCUUGGACAGUUUUUGUCUGGAAACCUGCUCUCGGGAGACCUCAGUUUUCUGCCCACCUGCUUUGUGUGUGGCUCUCCAACUAAAGACAAGCCCCUUAAAGAUCACCACUCCCAUGCCUUGCCUCUACCACAGGGCAUGAAAUAAUUGGCUUAUGAGCACCCGAAUUGAAGCAGAGAAGGUGGGGACACAUUUCUUGGCCCUUUGAUGAACAAACUGAAGAUCACUGUUCUGGCUUUCCAACUGCAGAAGCUGAGAUGUGGCGGGAAGAGUUGGGACUGUGCAGCCGGGCUAGCUCUCCCAUGUCCCUCAUCCAUCCUUCAUUGCCCACUCACUUGCCGAGAGCUGCUGAGGUUGAAGCACCCAGGAUAUCCAGGUGGGCCACAUUCGGCAGGGCAUUGUGACUUGGCGCCAAGUCUUUCAGCCUCCCUCCAUCUCACUUUCUUUACCUGCAAAUAACAGUACCGCAGACCCCUCACAAGCAGAACUGGUUCAGCUGGUGCUUGGUAGGUAGUCAAAAUCAACCUUCAAGAGUCGGUGUCCUGGAGCUCAGCAGCUGUCCCGGGCCUGGAAGAUGGGGUGUGCUCCUGCUCCGUCUCCUUGUGUGGUUCUGGAGUGGGGGAUCUGCACAGCCUGUGGGGUCCCCAGAGAGCCUGGGGCUGCUGCAGAGCAAGUUCUCUGUUGUUGGCAAAUAAAGCUAUAGCAGAGAUGACUCCAGUAAGCUGAGCACCCUCUGAACAAAGAAGGAAAUGUAUUCGCUCUUUCCUGAGGCCUAUUAAAUAUUGGAAAAAACACUGCCAGAUUUAACUUCAAAAUAUAAUUUUUCCAGUAUGGCUGGAGUGCACUCUCCGGCCAUCCAGAGGCUUCUAAAUGCAUUGGGGGCUUAGUUACGACCCUCACCAAGUUGUCUUGUCUCACCUGGAACCCACUGGCCCUCACAGAGUUGAGAGAAUAUUCAUUUUCUUGAACUCUUAUCAACGACAGUUUCUCGCUUGCCAUGAUUCCAUGGAACUGGGCAGCCCGCAUCUCAGAGAUAGGAAGUCAGAGAAAUUCUAUACAUAGGCUGUAUUUGCUGAGAAGACAAAGAGACUAUUUUCCAUUUCUCACUUUUCUCUCAAAGUGCAAAAACAACGGGCCUGUCUGGCCUAGUCACUGCUUUCUGUCUCUGAAGUGUUGCAGGCGCCAGCACCAGCCUUCCUCCUCAUUAACGUUCCAUGAUGACUCCUUCCAGGUGCUGGGGAUCCAGCCCACGGGGUUAUUAGAGGGCAGACACCAACAGGGAAGGUGCUGUUGACUCACCCUCACAAAUAUCAUUCCUUACAUUGUCAGGACAAUUACAAAACACGACUUUAAAACAUGCAAUAAUAAAAUAUCAAACUGAAGACGUUCAGUAUAAUUAAUCCGCCAAUCUU